rnacentral:tRNA from 1 species
AUUUAAGUAGUUUAAUUUUAUUAAUAAAAUAUAGAAUUGUGGAUUCUAGGAAGUAGAAAUUACCUUAAGUU